UCCAAACGCAUUGAGCUUGAUAUUCAAGUUCUAAAAAAAGCUUUCAAAAUUGUUACUUAAUAAUUCGUAUAGGUUUGCAAUGGCAGCAUUCUCUAAGUCCAUAAGGUCCAUAGUGAUUACACUUAUGAUUUAUGCUAUUCUCCUGUCUCCCUUGCUAUUAUGGUCCUGCGAUGCAGCUAGAACCCCUCAAGAAUUCGUGGCGAGCAAGUCUACCGUAGCAUGUCUUCAUUGUGUGGGGUGUUGUGAACCACCACCCCCAGGUGCCUGUUGUACCCGCUGUGGUUGUUGAAACUCCUCUUUUCUACAAGUCAAAUGAAGAAGUCUCAUGAUAAGCAAUCGGUGUGUCUCUGAGUAAUGUGCAUGUUAUACUCAAUAAAGAAACAACUUGGUUUCUAUAGGUUAAUUAGGCGUGUUAUUUGUACACUGUGGGAAAUGUCGAGUUUGUAACGUUUUGUAUUUAGUGAAUAAAUUAAGAGAAAAGAUUUCGAGGAGGAAAUCCCGAAGUUUUAUCUUUUCUGGUUGGACCAUUCA